rnacentral:tRNA from 1 species
GUGCUGUGAUCGGCCAUGACGGCGGGCCCGGCGGGGUUGUUGACCCGGAUGCCCGCCAUCCGGAGGCUGCCGGCGAUCUUCGCCCCGUACAGCUUG